rnacentral:rRNA from 1 species
ACAUCCAGAGAACUUGGCAGAGAUGCCUUGGUGCCUUCGGGACCUCUGAGACAGGUGCUGCAUGGCUGUCGUCAGCUCGUGUUGUGAAAUUGUUGGGUUUAAGUCCCGNAACGAGCGCAACCCCUAUCCUUUGUUGCCAGCGAUUCGGUCGGGAACUCAAAGGAGACUGCCGGUGAUAAACCGGAGGAAGGUGGGGAUGACGUCAAGUCAUCAUGGCCCUUACGAGUAGGGCUACACACGUGCUACAAUGGCGCAUACAAAGAGAAGCGACCUCGCGAGAGCAAGCGGACCUCAUAAAGUGCGUCGUAGUCCGGAUCGGAGUCUGCAACUCGACUCCGUGAAGUCGGAAUCGCUAGUAAUCGUAGAUCAGAAUGCUACGGUGAAUACGUUCCCGGGCCUUGUACACACCGCCCGUCACACCAUGGGAGUGGGUUGCAAAAGAAGUAGAUAGCUUAACCUUCGGGAGGGCGUUUACCACUUUGUGAUUCAUGACUGGGGUGAAGUCGUAACAAGGUAAGCGUAGCGAG